CCGCCCUCACCUAUUCACUCACCAUGGCUGAUUUGGCAUCUUUGGCAAACACAAACUUUCCGAUCCUGUCUUUCUCCUCCUGCUGAACACAGCGAGCAGCAAACAACCACUCGGAGCUGCUCGGUGUCCAAGAUCCGCAGCGGAAGGCCCAGCGAACAGACGCCAUCUUGUCGCCGACGUCUGUCAUCUACCUUACUAGCACAGCCGCCUUGUUAGCACUGUGUUAGCACAGCGCGCUAGCCAGUUACAUGUCCGAAUGAUUGACAGCUAAACUGAGAUAUUCACCAGUACUCUCCAGCUCUGCCUAAAAGUGCGAAUACGCGUUCGCUAUAAAGUAAAAUAGUAAGCCGCUAACUUGCUGCAUAUUUGUGUUUGACAGCCCUACUAACACAUGUCCGGAAGUAAAUAGGGAUAUUAGAUGACGUCACCGGCAGUCACUGUGACGGUUGACCAAUAGGAUACAUCGACACUGAGCAUGAUGCGUUCAGCACUUGACUACACUCAUGCCGCUGAUUGACAAUCAGCAGACGCACCUGUCACUGGCUGUCAAUCAGGAAGCUUUGUGUGCCCAGAGGGACGACGCUGGUUUUUCCAUUUCCGAAGACAAGUAGAUCAUCAUUUUACCUGCACGUUGCCUCCUGUCUCUGCAUCCCGGGGUGACGCCAGCAGCUGCCAUGAGGGCAGUCCGGAAGAGACCACUGCAAGGCCGGGGCGGCGGAGGGAGGCGUGGCCAGUGUGCACCGCUUUGGGGCAGUCCGGCGUCAGAACACGGCCGUUCUCCCCCACGCUUCCUGUGAUGGAAAGACGGGCCUUGUUUCGCAUGGCUUCAGAGAACGACAGCUGGGUGGGGAGAGACCAGAGAGAAGCAGGUGAAGAUUUUGUGGGCGCAGAAACCCCCGCGUCCCCAAACACGUAAACAUGCCUUUCAUGUGGUCAUGCAUGGGUAUGUACAUAUAAGACAGGUGUAUGAAGUCGGGGAGGUGCAGUCACACCGACAUGGGCUCGGCUCUACUUGCCCCAACUUGGAGAGGUUGGGUUCCAGCUUCAGCAUAAUAAUAAUGCAAAAAACCGUAUAGAGAGGAGACCCUUGUCCUGGACCAGGGUAGAGAGACUCAUUGGUUUUCCAGAAGAGACACAACAGGCUAUUAUUUUUGGCGAUCGUGGUCACGUGUCCGAAGAUGUUACAGUUUCACAGUAAUCGUUAGCCAAUUUUUCAAAGGAUUUCCCUCAAGGAUUGUUUAGUGAAUACGCGAGGUGAUAUUAGUGACGUCAUACAGCAAAAGAAACACAUGGCGCCCAGGCGGCAGAAACGCUCCAAAGUUUGGCGAUAUUUUAUGGAAAAAGGUUGCAACAGCACAACCUGCAACAGUUACAAGGUUGCUAUUUCCACAAAAGGAGGAAAUACAAGCGAUAUGCUCGUAUUUCUGUAUGUAUGUUUAAUAUCCAGUUAUAUUAAUUAUAUAUCCAUUAUAUUGAUAUAAUAUGUGUGUAUUUAUACAUAGAUGUG